rnacentral:rRNA from 1 species
GACGAACGCUGGCGGCGUGCUUAACACAUGCAAGUCGAACGGUGAGGCGCGGCGUUUGCUGUUUUCUCGUGUGGCGCUCGGGUGUGAAACACGCGUGUGACACGCGCUUUAUUGUGGGAGAUCACUAGUGGACUGGGUAGAUAAUAGCAUAUGAGCAUGGAUUGCAUAUGUCGUUUAUUUGAGUUGCGGCGGUUGGGGAUGGACGCGUGGCUUAUCAUUGUGUUGGUGGGGUAGUGGCUUACCAAGGCUUUGACGGGUAGCCGGCCUGAGAGGGUGACCGGCCACAUUGGGACUGAGAUACGGCCCAGACUGCUACGGGAGGCAGCAGUGGGGAAUAUUGCACAAUGGGCGGAAGCAUGAUGCAGCAACGCCGCGUGCGGGAUGACGGCUUUCGGGUUGUAAACCGCUUUCGCGUGUAAAGAAGAGUGUGUGACGGUAAUGGGUAAAGAAGCAACGGCUAACUACGUG